GAUGAACGCUGGCGGCGUGCUUAACACAUGCAAGUCGAACGGAAAGGCUCCUGCUUGCAGGGGUACUCGAGUGGCGAACGGGUGAGUAACACGUGGGUGAACUGCCCUGCACUUCGGGAUAAGCCUGGGAAACUGGGUCUAAUACCGGAUAGGACGAUGGUUUGGAUGCCAUUGUGGAAAGUUUUUCGGUGUGGGCUGAGCUCGCGGCCUAUCAGCUUGUUGGUGGGGUAAUGGCCUACCAAGGCGUCGACGGGUAGCCGGCCUGAGAGGGUGUACGGCCACAUUAGGACUGAGAGACGGCCCAGACUCCUACGGGAGGCAGCAGUGGGGAAUAUUGCACAAUGGGCGCGAGUCUGAUGCAGCGACGCCGCGUGGGGGAUGACGGCCUUCGGGUUGUAAACUCCUUUCGCUAGGAACGAAGCGCAAGUGACGGUACCUGGAGAAGAAGCACCGGCUAACUACGUG
rnacentral:rRNA from 1 species